UGGGGUAUCGCCAAGCGGUAAGGCACCGGUUUUUGAUACCGGUAUUCCCUGGUUCGAAUCCAGGUACCCCAGCCA
rnacentral:tRNA from 5 species